rnacentral:lncRNA from 1 species
AUGGAAGACUGCUGCCCUAGAACAAUUCUUCACUGUGUAGUCAACUUGCAGAAGAGAAGUGGAUCAGACUCAGGACCUUGUGCUUUCAAGGCAGGUGGCGGAACCACUGAGAUAAAUCCCUGGCCCCCUAAUUUUCUUUUUAAUCCACACAUUCCCACCUGGAGGAGAGUAACUCCAGGGCUCUGCACGCCAUCUUCCACUAAAUCUGCGCUACAGGUUUUGGCCUUUUUAGAGUUUGGUGAAUCUAAUCUCAAGACCGUUGUGGAAGAUUCUUAGCUCAACGUUCAGAGGAUCAACAGAAACUUGAGAUUAUUGCAGCAGCAGUUCCUGCCUACAAACUAAAAACUAGAAGAACUUCCCAGAAUCCAUCAGGAUUGGUGCAGUACUGAACACAUCAGUCUUGUGAGUUUAAAGUAUGGUCAGAGGACCUCCUGUAUAAUUAAGAAUAAAAAAAUCAUUGUCCACAUUCCAAAUACAGUAAGAGUGGGAGGGAAGAUGAAUGGCACUUUCUUCAGUUUCCCACAUGACUUUUAAAUAUACUAUGUUUUAAAACCAUUGGAUUAAGUGUUAAUUUGUUUAAAUAUAUACAUAUACCCAAAAAAGGAAUGGAGUUAGAAACAGCAAUAUACUUCUCCAGAUA